CUUCCUGGACUGAUGUAAUGGAUAGACUCCUCCUACCUGACUGACUGGGGGGAUCUUCCUUGACUGAUGUAAUGGAUAGACUCCUCCUCCUACCUGACUGACUGGGGGAGAAGAGCUCAUGGAGUCGUAACAGUACAGGAAGGAGGGAAGAGCUCAUGGAGUCGUAACAGUACAGGAAGGAGGGAAGAGCUCAUGGAGUCGUAACAGUACAGGAAGGAGGGAAGAGCUCAUGGAGUCGUAACAGUACAGGAAGGAGGGAAGAGCUCAUGGAGUCGUAACAGUACAGGAAGGAGGGAAGAGCUCAUGGAGUCGUAACAGUACUAUCCCAGUACUGUUCAGUCUCUACAUUUAUUUGUCCUUUUGGUUGUGGUCAAUGAUGGGACUAUUUCCUGGUGAUCUUUGUCCCCCCCUGAACUAGAAGGAUAUUUUAUCACCUGACUGUUAGAAUGGUGACAGUCUGUUUUCCUUUUUAUAUCAUUUUUC
ensembl:lncRNA